CGAAAACAAACAAAAGUCGGCGCAAGGCGCGGCCCAACCUCAUCGGCCCGGCGCUUGCCAGGCGACGAGGGCCUCCUUGAGGGCGUCAUCGCAGCCCAGCCAAAAGUGCGAACCGCGCCGCCCGGUCUUGACAAAGCGGCCAAAGGUGUCGGCAGCGCUCUCGGGGUCGCCGCACGCCUCCUCACACUGGGCGAGACCAAUGUCGGAGGAGAGGCGCGCCAAAAAGGCCCACGCGCUUUCAAACCGUCGGCGACCGCCGCCGCGGGCGAGAGCCGCAUCGAGCGCCUCGACGUCGCCCGGCGCGUGGACGCCCUGGCGGUACCACGCGAUGAAUCGGCUCGCGAUGCCGCGCGACGUCGGCAUGAUGUUGGUGGCGUCGCGUCCGGCAACGUUGACGUAGCGCGUGUACAUGUGGUUGUAGGGCCGCCGCGGAUCGUCCCAGUCGACAGCGCUGUUGUGCGCCGCAUCGGGGAAGACGUGCCGCACAAAGUCGUCCAGCGUCGCGCGCAGGUCGGCGUAGACGGCCACGCGCGCGCAGGCGUCGAUCUCGGCAAGGGAGGGCACGGCGCUCGCUACCGCGUCCAUGUCCAAAAAAAUCAACAGAAAAACAAAAUGAAAGAAAGCGUCUGGUCCUCUCUUUGUUCC
rnacentral:lncRNA from 1 species